GAUGAUAUAAAGAGUUGCUAAAAGUGAUAUCAUAUGAUAGGGCAAUAAAAUGUUACAAGAUAAUUAAUUUAUUUAAAAACUAACUAAAUAAUUAAAUAAUAAUUAGAAUUCUCUAGAAUAAAAUUGUGUCUAUCAUCAACUCCAACCCCCCACCCCUCAUUUCAGCCAAGAACGUCCACCCCUCUCUUCCAUUGAAGACAAGAGCUCAACCUUUUCAUUUCCAAAUCUUUUGUCAUUUUAAUCGGUAAAUCGAUCGGGAAAUCGGAUAUCCGCCAGAAAAUCAAGUAUAAGGCAUAGAAGCUUGUAACACGAGUCGUGCAAAAAUGAAUGGACCUAGAAGAUAGCAAAGGGUCGGAAGGUGAAAUAGGCUUAUGUUCAUAAGCCUGCGAGGUUAGAGUCGACAUUAUGUCAGUGGUGUCGCACAGCUUUGCAUCUUUGGCGAGUCACUGAUGGUCAACUUGGUUUAGUAGACGUGGCAUGUUGGGCAAUAGUUUAAUCUUUAACCUUCCGUUGGGUAAAUGUUACGUUUUUAAAUGUAAUAGAUUUUUAAUUAUGCUUUUAAGCUAAAAAAAAAGAAAAAAUUCAGCACGGGCUUUCGAUACUGAAACGUGACAUCACUUAUUCGGUGGGUUUACCUACCGGGUAAGGGGUGUUACAUUUUCUCUCGCCGACUUCCUUGCCGGAAGUUCGGCUACUGUUUUGAGGUUACAUCUGCAGUUUGAUGCUUAAUUUAGUUUCUAUUUUCUGUUUC